rnacentral:pre_miRNA from 1 species
UGCCUGACAGAAGCAGCACAUCAAUAUUGGCAGCUGCCCUCUCUCUGGGUUGCCAGUAUGGUUUGUGCUGCUCCCGUCAGACA